AGAGUUUGAUCCUGGCUCAGGAUGAACGCUAGCUACAGGCUUAACACAUGCAAGUCGAGGGGAAACGGACAUCGAAAGCUUGCUUUUGAUGGGCGUCGACCGGCGCACGGGUGAGUAACGCGUAUCCAACCUGCCCACCACUUGGGGAUAACCUUGCGAAAGUAAGACUAAUACCCAAUGACGUCUCUAGAAGACAUCUGAAAGAGAUUAAAGAUUUAUCGGUGAUGGAUGGGGAUGCGUCUGAUUAGCUUGUUGGCGGGGUAACGGCCGACCAAGGCUACGAUCAGUAGGGGUUCUGAGAGGAAGGUCCCCCACAUUGGAACUGGGACACGGUCCAAACGUCCUACGGGAGGCA
rnacentral:rRNA from 1 species